rnacentral:rRNA from 1 species
CUACGGGAUGCUGCAGUGAGGAAUAUUGCACAAUGGGGGGAACUCUGAUCCAGCAACGCCGCGUGGAGGAUGACGCAUUUCGGUGUGUAAACUCCUUUUAUAUGUCAAGAAAAUGACGGUAGCAUAUGAAUAAGCACCCGCUAACUCCGUGCCAGCAGCCGCGGUAAUACGGAGGGUGCAAGCGUUACUGGAAUCACUGGGCGUAAAGGACGCGUAGGCGGGUUGGAAAGUCAGGUGUGAAAUCCUACAGCUUAACUGUAGAACUGCACUUGAAACUUCUAAUCUAGAGUAUGGGAGGGGGAGAUGGAAUUAGUGGUGUAGGGGUAAAAUCCGUAGAUAUCACUAGGAAUACCUAAAGCGAAGGAGAUCUACUGGAACAUGACUGACGCGAAGGCAUGAAAGCGUGGGGAGCAAACAGGAUUAGAUACCCGCGUAGUC